AUGGCAUGUAGAAUAGGACUCUAUCUUUAUUCUCGUCCGAUUAAUUAGUUAUACAAAAGAACUAUCAGAC
rnacentral:tRNA from 1 species